rnacentral:rRNA from 1 species
UUGGAGGGCAAGUCUGGUGCCAGCAGCCGCGGUAAUUCCAGCUCCAAUAGCGUAUAUUAAAGUUGUUGCAGUUAAAAAGCUCGUAGUUGAAUUUCGGGGUUAGUAGGUUGGUCAUGCCACUGGUAUGUACUGGUCUCACUGAUUCCUCCUUCCUGAUGAGCCGUAAUGCCAUUAAUUUGGUGUUGCGAGGAAUCUGGACUGUUACUUUGAAAAAAUUAGAGUGUUUAAAGCAAGCUAACGCUUGAAUACAUUAGCAUGGAAUAAUGAAAUAGGACGUUCGAUCCUAUUUUGUUGGUUUCUAGGAUUGACGUAAUGAUUAAUAGGGAUAGUUGGGGGCAUUAGUAUUCAAUUGUCAGAGGUGAAAUUCUUGGAUUUAUUGAAGACUAACUACUGCGAAAGCAUUUGCCAAGGAUGUCUUCAUUAAUCAAGAACGAAAGUUAGGGGACCGAAGACGAUCAGAUACCGUCGUAGUCUUAACCAUAAACUAUGCCGACUAGGGAUCGGAUGAUGUUAAUUUUUUAAUGACUCAUUCGGCGCCUUACGGGAAACCAAAGUGUUUGGGUUC